CCUUUGACGUUAGCGGCGGACGGGUGAGUAACACGUGGGUAACCUACCUAUAAGACUGGGAUAACUUCGGGAAACCGGAGCUAAUACCGGAUAAUAUUUCGAACCGCAUGGUUCGAUAGUGAAAGAUGGUUUUGCUAUCACUUAUAGAUGGACCCGCGCCGUAUUAGCUAGUUGGUAAGGUAACGGCUUACCAAGGCGACGAUACGUCGCCGACCUGAGAGGGUGAUCGGCCACACUGGAACUGAGACACGGUCCAGACUCCUACGGGAGGCAGCAGCC
rnacentral:rRNA from 1 species